AUUAACAAAGUAGUUCUGUGUGUCCUUAACACAGGCCCUAGACUGCAGCUGGAGGCAGCCAGCCCUCUGCUCAGCCCUGCCGUGCAGAGUGACACAGGCAGGCGACAUCAUCUGAGUACUAACUUCUCCUACAUCCAGACAGACUGCAAGAACCAUUUCUGAAUCGUGGCACGACAUAAGAGAAGCAAAGGGAAUCAAAGGACUGUUAAAGCUCUGAUGUAUGAGCUGCUUGGGCACUGUGAGAUGUUUUAAGAUUAUUCAACAAGGAAAUGACAGCAUGUGGAAGAUGAAGCUACAUCACAGCAGUAACAACAUCGGGAUCCUUAGCCUAUUGUGCCACCAGGAAACGUCAUGAUUCUGUCAGUUUCUGAGAAGAGUAUGUUAAAUGUUGCCACUUAACCUGGAUUUCAUAAAAAUUUCAUUUUAAAUAUACCGGAUUUUGCUUUAUAUAUUUAAACCUAAGUUACUAGUUACUUAAAAUUUUAUAGUUAUUAUACUUCCUGACAAAUUACUUUCUUGGCCACCACUAAUGAUUUUCCCUUAAAUUCUAUUUUAUCUGAUAAAUAAUAUUGCUAGAUCACUUUUACUUUUAUUGCUUGUUCUACGCUUUCUAACCAAUUUUUCUGUAUUAUUCUAUGCAAUUAUCCACACUUAGAUAUGUCUCUUGGAAACAUACUAAACUUAAAUUUUUAAAACUAAAAUCCAUGAGUUCUUUUUUAAUAAUAUUUGAAUCCAACUUCUGUUUUCUCUACAUACAUCCUUUCAUUUAAAUGAGAUUUUAUUUCUUCUGGUCCUACGCAUAUUAUUUAUUAAUGUAAAUUAAUAGUGAUAUUUGACCACAAAAAUGUAACUGAUUAACAAAAAACUUCUUUAAAAUGGAAGAUUCAUUUACUCCAAAAUAUUUUUUGAGCUUCUAUUAUAUGUAUUUAUUCUCCUAAAUGUUUAAGACACAUAAGUAAAUAAGACAAAAAAAUCCAUGCCCCUGUGGAACCUAUAUUCUAAUUCAUAAUAAUAUCUGUGUGUUAGAUCAUGGCCUUAGAACUUUAUCUAUGCCACUUCUUUUAUUUCUCACAAUAAAUCUAUGAGGUAUUUAUAGGUAAGUAAAUAGUAACACAGACUAGUAAAGUUACUAGCAAAAUUGAGACAGUCAGAAUUUAAAUGGCCAUGCACUCUUACCUAAAACUGCACCUUUAAUCAGUUCAUUCAAUAGUAAUGUUGAAUGGUUUUACAACCAGCAUGUUUCUUUUAAUUUAAUUGGUUUGGUAUACUGCCCAAAGAACCAAGCUUAGAUCCAAAGAUUUUUAAAAAAUUUAACCUUACAUUAACCUCAUAUAUAGAACUUAGUUAUUAAUAAAAUAUUAACACAUUUUAUUAUUUACAUUUUUAUGAGAAAUGUAAUUUAACAACCUCAUUUUUCUCAGAUGCAGUAUUUAAUGGGUCCAACAAACUCAUAAGGGAGAAAUGAACAGUUGUCCUUGAUUAAAUACAGAUUGCAAAAGAUGUAAGUAGAUCUUAUCAGAGGUUUGACCUGUGACUCAGUGAGAUCUUUAAAAAGGAACCAUAAAAAAGGAAACUCUUUUUCAAUGUGGAGCUAUCUAUAUCAGUUGGAAUGGAAAGUUUGAGGUUUUGAUAAUGUAACAAAUUGUUCCCUGUGUUAUGCUGUCUCACACUGAUAACAGAUCAUGGAUUAAUUUUGGAACUUCUAUUUUAUUACCACUGAAAUUUUUCUCACUCCCAGUCCUUCCUGUCUUCCUUCACUGUGCUCUGUAUCUUCCUUACCAUGAGGCUGUGAGGCAUUGGUUAGAUAUACAGCCUUACAGACUCUUUCAUGAGAUGUUCUAAAUCCACAUAAAGGGUUCAAAACACUAAAAUUAGCUAUAGGAGAAAGAGAGCACUUACAGUGUUUCAACUUAAUAGAAGGGAAGAGACCAAUUGCUUUUGUUCCUGUUUAGGGCUGGACAUUUCUUUAAUAUUCAUUCAUUGUAUAUUUGUCAAGUUACUGAAUACCUAGUUUCAUUGUACUAUACUUUAUUGAGCUUUGUAGCCAUUGAAUUUUGUACAAAUUGAAGGUCUAGGCAAUCUGCCUCCACCAAGUCUAUGGCACCAUUUCCCCAAAAGCAUUGCUCACUUAGUGUCUCUGUGUCACAUCUGGUAAUUCUCACAAUAUUUCAAACUUUUUCAUUACUGUUAUCUGUAUUACAGCAAUAUGUGUGUGACAAGUGAUCUUUGAUGUUGUAAUUGUUAUCACUGUAAUUGCUUCAAAAACUGUGCCCCUAUAAGAUAGUGAACAAUCCAUAAA
ensembl:lncRNA